rnacentral:tRNA from 1 species
GGAGACGUGGCCGAGCGGCUGAAGGCACUCGUUUGCUAAAUGAGCGUACCCCGAAAGGGGUACCGAGGGUUCGAAUCCCUCCGUCUCCG